GGAGAAGAAACUUACAAGGAUUCCCCUAGUAACGGCGAGCGAACCGGGAACAGCCCAGCUUGAGAAUCGGGCGGCUGUGCCGUCCGAAUUGUAGUCUGGAGACGCGUCCCCAGGCACGGACCGGGCCCAAGUCCCCUGGAAAGGGGCGCCUGGGAGGGUGAGAGCCCCGUCCGGCCCGGACCCUGUCGCCCCACGAGGCGCGG
rnacentral:ncRNA from 1 species